UAUUUUCUCCCUCCGCAUGAUUUUUGUUAUCUUUCUCCCUGCGCCGCUGACCGUGUUGCUCCCACUAUUCAAUCUCCUGAGUCAUGUUGAAACAAGAAAACCCUAAAAGUGAUUAGAUCCCUCCGCCUCCCAACUCACUCUCUCUUCUUCAUUUCCCCUGUUCAUCUUUCUUGUUCAACUGUACUCCCUUUGUUCCUUCAGCAUGUUUGUCAAUUCUUGAUGACCCUCUUCAAUCCUCAAAAACAACACUUUAUUUGUCUCUUCAACACCAAAUCCUCUUCCCAAAUCACUACCUCAUAAUCCUCAAUAAAAAAAAUCCAACCCAUGAACUUGAGUUGAAUCGGUCCUUGAUGUUCAUGUUCAGUCGAUUAAAUCUAUGGACUAUUACGACGAAUCUCGAUCUGUAGCGAGAUGCCCAUUUCAUGAAACGAACGACUCGACUUCCGGCGGGGUUAAAGUUGUCACCUUGUGGCGGUUUGGUGAAGUGGGUCGUCGGAAUUUAGGUGUUUUAAAGAAACAAACGCCGCAGUCUUGGGAUAGGGUUGCGUAUGAAGCGAUGUUGGACGGUGAUACUGUUGUUGUUUUUGUGAAAGGGUUGAAUCUUCGACCACACAAGAUCUCGGAUCCGACGAGUUUUUGUUGUCAUUUUGGGUUACGAAGAUUCCACAAAGAUGGUGUUGGAGCUUCCUUUUUGCUUAGUACAAGAGUGGUUUCGGUGGCUCAAGAAAUCGUGAGGUGUGUUUUGCCGCAGAGUGUUAGAAACAAACCUGAGAAAGCUCGUGGAGUUCGGGUCACUGUGAGUAAUCUGAGUGGGAAUUUGAGGCGGCAAGUUCGUACCCUUUUGUCGUCAGUAGCUAGAAUUGGUAAUGGAAGUGUUCGUAAGGAGAGUAGUGAGAAGCAUGAGCUUUGUGUUUGUAGUAAUAUGGUUUGGAAUCAAGCUUGUGCGUUGAGGGAAUGGUUCGUUAUGCUACAGAUGGAAAUUGAUGCUGAUGAUGUUGAUGCUGUCGAAUUGGUCGAUUUCUGCAGAGCUCGGUUCGUUAAACGUUGAUGCGUGGGGAUAAUUACUUCCUAAUAAACACAUGAAACGAGUUUUUUGCUAUAUGAUGUUGUUCUAAGUUUCUUAGACUUUGUUUUUUGUGGGGUUGGAUGCAGUUAACUAUGGCUAUUGCAAAGGGAGUGGCAGUUGUAACUCGCUUUGGCAUUGAGGAGAUAACAUCAUAUCAGUGUACCUCCAGGAUUUAGAUAUCAUCCAACAGAAGAACUUGCAGGGUAUUACCUCAACAGUAAAAUCAACUCACUUAAAAUUGAUCUAGAUUGGAAAUAAGUUUGUAUAUUGAUGUAGUGAUGAUGGUAUGUUAAUUUUUUGACUUUUGUGUUGUCUGUUGAUGUUAAUUUGUGUUAUUAUUUAUUGUCAGCAAAUAUGAUUUUGGUGUUGUCUACUGAAGCUACAACUCAUCUUCUUGUGGAUUUCAUGUUGGUAUUUCAAGUGUGGGAAAUGACUUAUAAAUGGUUGGAUAUUUUAUAUGUUUUCACUUGUUUUGUUGUCGUAGUAGUCCACCGUGUGUAAACUUCCUUGUAAUUUUGUACACUUGUGUGUAUCCUAGAUUAGUACUUUUCUAUAUCAAUUGUUCAUUUUGAAGAAUAUAUAUGUGCAUCCUAGCUAUUUGGUGUAAUGAAAUUACUCUUCACUGGUUAGAAGAAUAUGAACAUAGCGAUUUGUGUGAUGUUGAAAAAAUACGAAAAAUAGCGAUCUAAAUGUGGUCUGUGUGAUGUUGGAGAAAAAAAUUACAGGAAAUCCGCCUCGAUUCCGCUAAAAAAUAGCCUGAUUUUUUAAGAAAGAUAGCAAACAAAUUACAUCGGACAAGCCUUGCAACCGAUGUAAAAACUAUCUAUUACAUCGGGCAAAGUGGAAAACCGAUGUAAAAACAAUCUAUUACAUCGGGCGGACAGGAAAACCGAUGUAAAAUAUGGCGUAUAUAUUUUUUUAUAAAAUAAUUGCAUUAUUUUUCACAU